rnacentral:tRNA from 1 species
GGAGAGAUGCUCGAGUGGCUGAAGAGGCACGCCUGGAAAGUGUGUAUACCUGUCAAAGGGUAUCCAGGGUUCGAAUCCCUGUCCCUCCGCAA